UCCCCUUUGACCUCAAGAUAUCCAAGAUGGCUGCCCGGUUACUGACCAAAACUUUCUUCCUCCCAGUUCGCAGCCGUUUUGUCGCCUCUUCUCUCUCUUUUCCCGCAAGAUGUCAGUCUUCGGGCCAGCCUUUGACUCAAGAAGUCAGCGAGGAGCUUUCAGACGAGGCAAUUUUCUCUCACGAGCACGUAGAGCUGCGUAGAUCGCUGAACAAGAUUAUUGAGAAUGACAUCAACCCCUAUGUUGAUGAGUGGGAAGGUGCUAAGAUCUUCCCAGCCCACCAGGUCUUUAAGAAACUCGGAGAUGCAGGUUUCUUGGGUGUCAACAGAGACCCAGAGUAUGGUGGGCUUGGUCUGGACUACUCCUUUAAUGUAGCCAUAGCUGAAGAACUGGGGAACAUCAAGUGUGGAGCGAUCCCCAUGGCUAUAGGGGUGCAGACUGACAUGGCUACUCCAGCUCUCGCAAGGUUUGGAAGUGACUUGGUAAAGAAAGAGUUUCUGGCUCCGUCCAUCGCUGGUGACAAGGUCGCCUGUCUGGGGGUCAGUGAGGUCGGAGCAGGGUCCGAUGUCAGCAGUAUCAAGACGACAGCUAAGAAGAGUGGCGGUGAUUACAUCAUCAACGGAGGGAAGAUGUGGACGACCAACGGCCUGCAGGCAGACUGGAUGUGUCUGCUAGCCAACACCAGCGACGGCCCUCCUCACAGGAACAAGUCCCUCAUCUGUCUCCCCAUGGACUUACCAGGGAUAGAAAAGGCCAAGAUUGACAAGAUCGGCAUGUGGAGCUCGGACACUGCACAGGUUUUCCUGGAGGAUGUCCGUGUGCCUCAGUCCUACCUCAUUGGGGAUGAAGGGAUGGGCUUCACUUACCAGAUGCUGCAGUUCCAGGAGGAACGGCUGUGGGGCGCUGCUGCAUCGCUGGUGCCACUUGAUGCAGUUAUUAAGGAAACAGCUGAGUACACCAAACAGAGGAAAAUCUUUGGACAACCUCUCCUGAACAACCAGGCUGUCCACUUCAAACUGUCGGAGCUACAGACUGAAGUGGAGUGUCUCAGGUCUCUCAUAUACAGAGCUACUGGUAUGUACGUCCAAGGAAAAGAUGUGACCAAGCUCGCUUCAGACCUUCGAAAACUACUCAGAUUUCAGUCCAUGGUCGUGAAGAGAGAAUAGUCUGUCCACCCAAUAACAAUAAUAAAAAGUCUACCAUCUUUGACUGCCCCAUGCAGGUAUGUAUGUCCAAGGAAAAGAUGUGACCAAGCUGGCCUCCAUGCACAAGCUGAAGGGUGGUCGGCUGGCCCGGGAAGUGACGGACUCGUGUCUGCAGUACUGGGGGGGCAUGGGAUACACGUCUGAUGUCUUUGUCAGCAGGGCCUUCAGGGAUUUCAGGUUGCUUUCCAUUGGUGGUGGUGCAGAUGAGGUUAUGAUGUCCAUUAUUUCCAAGUACAUGGGGACUCUGCCCAAGCUGAAGGCAAAGUAGUGUACUUUGGUGGACUCAACUUGUCAGAUUUGUAUGUCAUUUGCAUUUAUCAAAAAUUUGCAUGUCAUUUGCAUUUAUCAAAGAUUUGCAUGACAUUUGGAUCGAAAAUACUCGCAUCAAUGGGAAAAUUUGCAUCUGUCAGAUUGUUAAUCUAAAAUUUGUACAAAUUUGUCAAUUUGCAUUGCCAUGCAAGUCUGUCAAUGCAAAUGACAUGCACAUGCUCCAGUGAAAAAUGACAUGCAAGUCUGCCAAUGCAAAUGACAUACAAAUUAUCCCAUUCAAAUUACAUGCAAGCAAAUCUGCUAAUGCAAAUGACAUGUAGAUCUGUCAAUGCUAAUGGCAUACUGAGAGACAAGAGUUAUGCUUUAAAUUUAACCUUUUUGCACAUUAUUGGGGUGUUAUUGUACUUUCAAGUAUCAAUUUGUGUAUUAUGAGAUUGUAAUAGCAAAAAUGUACAUAUAUACAUGGUGUAAACUGUACAUGCAUCUACAAUGUAUAUGGGGUCACUACAGUAGUACUAGGUGAUACAUGAACUUUGAUCAGGAUAACUUCUUGUUGAUGCAUGGACAUGGUCAAUACAAUUGGUCUAUAUAUGCUGGUAGAAUUUUGGAUUGUACAGGCAGACACCAGGAUCGAGAUCUCAAUUUGUGAUUUUGCCGGUAAGGUGUUUUUGUCAAUACGGACUCCGAUCUUGAAUGAUACCGGCAGAAUUGCUGAUCCUAUGAUAUGUGAGUCUCUAUACUCUGACUCAUACAUACAAAAUUACAACAUAGACACAUAAAAACAUAACAUCAACUCUCAUAAUUCAACCGAGUGCCAUACAUAAUACCACCACAUUAAAAAAAAAAGUUGUUGUAAAAGCCUUCUCAACAUUAUCAAAUAUCUCAAAUAUAUAUACCUCAGGAUUACAGAUGAAACAUUGGUACAUCUAUACUUAAUGUUUAUUAAUUUUUUUCUCAUGUGGUGGUAUUAUUAAUUGGCAUCCAGUGGAAUUAUGAAAGUAGAUGUUACAUUUUGUACAUGUAACAUUGUACAUUAGUUCACCUUUAUCCGCGGGGUAACCUAUAUCCGUUGUGUUCCUAGACAAGGUAUCCAGGGAUAUCACGUUGAUGGACGGUAGUUUCAAAAUGUACUUUUUAAAAAAUAUUACAGUUGGAAACCAUCGUCUGUCGGCUUCGUAUCCCUAAACACAUUGUUCUUAAAAAGAACGGAUAAAGGUUACCCUACGGAUAAAGGUGAACUGGUGUUAUAAGUAGAUGUCUCCCGAUCUGAAAGUUUUUGAAGUAUGUGUUGUAGUGGAAAUUAAUGUGACGUAAGCAAAGACUGUAUAAUGGCGUUGUGUAAAAGCUAAAUAUACAAACAAUAUACAAAAUAUUAGCACGGUUUAUGCCAAAAGUACAUACAUGCAUAUGCUGGGCUCUUUUCUUUUUAAAGAAUUGCUAUUGUUGUAUUAUCCUGUCCCUCUGUAUUUCUUGUGUAAUAGAAUAAUUUUUCAGUUUGUUCUGCACCUUGAAAUAUAAAUUAAUAAUCAUGUAUAUUGUGGUUCUUUUCAAUGAACAUUUAUUGAUUAUGGUGUGAUCACAGUUUUCAGACACAACUUGGAUAUGGUAAUAAUAAUUGUGAUAAUAAAACAAAAAAGCUGUAUAAAGCGGU